ensembl:lncRNA SLC25A48-AS1 SLC25A48 antisense RNA 1
AGAGAGAACAACAUUCCCUAUGAGAACCCUGAGUAUAUGCUUGCCCUGUGGCUGUGUCUGGCUAUACAAUUCCUGGAACAACUCAGUCCUGGAGUGGGUUCUUGGAUCAGAAGCAACGCUAUGGAGAAUGUCAUAAUGGUGGAUAGGCAUUUUGUGAAUCCAUGGAUGGUGGUGCUGGCAGAAGCACUAUGUGCAAAGAAGGGUCAUCCCUUGUCCUGGAGUCAUCCUUCUCCAAGGCAGCACCCUCCUGAUGAACCCGGCUGGUUCCUGGGAACUCACUGUGUCUGGAGGCUCUCUCCCACCCCAUGUGAAGGAAGCAUCAUCCUCAAUCAAUGUUGCCACACUUCUGACCUCUUGAAUGCUGGCAAUGUCCGUCCAUUCUCAUGACUAAGUGAGCUUGGAGUGUACCAGUCAAGGAAAAGGGAGGAGAAAGGAGAAACCAAACUUUGAGUAGCAAUUGUCUACAGUGUGUGGCUUAGAGAAUCAAGCUGACACAGGCCAGAGAAUACAGGCCUCAGCAAGGACUAUGAGGUUGGACAAGGCUUCACAGAAUUUCUGGCACUGGAGCUGGGCCUCCUGACAGCUUUCUCUCCAAGCAAUUAUGGGCCACCUAAAGAAAUGAGACUGCAGGAAAUAUAAGAAUAUUUUUGAAGAAUAUGAAUGAUCAUAAGAAAAGGGCGAACUAUGAGAAUGGCCUCUGACGAUGGCUGGCAGGAGAAGCGGGUGGAUGUAGGAAAGGCUGCAUUAAUUCACUGUCUUUCUACAAGUGCUUAGGGAGCCAUGGUUUUCAGCUUCUUAGCCAAGAGCUUGGCAUUUUGCUGCAUGGGUGCUGUGCUUAAUCUAGGGCAUGUCCAUUCCAAGGUCUCUGAUGGGUACACACAUAGUCCUCUUUGCAUCCUGUAUACCCAUGAUCAUCCUAACCCCAAAGCCACCCCCUACUACCCAGGACACAUAGUCAAAGAAACCCUGCAUGUGCAUCUUCAAUGCCUGUAUUCCCUCACUCAUUCAAACCACUCUGUGUAGCCCGAGCCCAGCCCUUCCUGGCUUUAGAGCCUUAGCCUGUGCUGUUGUGUUGCCUGGGAUUCCUUUCCCUCCACCCUUUGUACACUGGCUCCUCCUAACCCUUCUGGUCUAAGUAUAAAGGCACUACCCCAGAGAAGUCUUCCCUGACUACCCCAUCUGAGUCACUGGCCACUCUCACCAAAGCACCCUGUCUGCUAUUUGUUACCCCUUCUUCAACUGUGGUUCACCUGUUCGUAUUCCUUCUCCCCAGCCGGCAUACAGUCACCACCAAGUCAGGUACCCAACAUAGUACCUGGGAUGGAUUAGACACUCAGUCAACACUUGAUGAAGAAAACAAUAAAGCCUUAUAGACUCAUGUCCCCCUCAUGAGGGGUGCCCUAGCCAACUGACACCAAGUCAAUCAUUUACACCAUUUUUUUUCAAUUUGUGUUAUUAACCACAGAACUCUUUUCCACCCUAAAAUAAUCUUAUCCCACAAGACCCCAUACCUAGUGAUUUCUGUGGAUGCUGUUGCCAAACACCUCAGGGCAAGGGCCAGGCACAGGACAGGGUUCCCGCUAUUGUCUCUACUCCAUCUUCCCAUAAAUUGGUUAGCUGGGACCUCCUCACUGAGUCGCAUGGCUCCAACAAGAAUCCAAAGCUGGCAACAGGAACUCUGCAGGGCUCUCCCAGAGGGAAGCUGGGAAGUUAAGGCUGCAGGCUCCAAGCCCUUGUUCCUGGAAGAGAACUAAGGAACUGGUACCAUAACCGGUGUCCAGGCUGCUGGUUUGCCCCAGUUCUGGGCAGCCACAGGCCCCCAGGGGCAUAAUGACCAGCUAGUGCCUUGUCUUCUCCUGCCUCUUCCAUGCUUUUACUGUGAUUCUCAUCCACAGGCACCAGAAGAAGGGGACUUUCUAAGCACUGUUUACAUUCUUGUCAUUUUGCCUGUGUUUAGACUUACAAAAAAAUGCAUCUUAAUCAUUUACAAGCAAUCAUAGGCCCUCAUGGAUUUCAAGUAAACUUUCCUAUAAACCAGUCAACUUCAGAGUCUCUGUUCCCUCUAGGAUCAUAAACCCUCAGAGCUGGUAGGCCCUUAAGCUAGAGAAAUUGAGGCCUUGGGGUUAGGGACCUGCCCAGGC